rnacentral:rRNA from 1 species
CGCAGCCGCGGUAAUUCCAGCUCCAAUAGCGUAUAUUAAAGUUGUUGCAGUUAAAAGCUCGUAGUUGAAUUUCGGGAUUAGUACGCUGGUCGUGCCUUCGGUACGUACUGGUGUUACUGAUUCCUACCUCCUGAAGAACCGUCAUGUCAUUAAUUUGGUGUGGCGGGGAAUCAGGACUGUUACUUUGAAAAAUUAGAGUGUUUAAAGCAGGCUCGCGCUUGAAUACAUUAGCAUGGAAUAAUGAAAUAGGACGUUUGAUUCUAUUUUGUUGGUUUUCUAGGAUUGACGUAAUGAUUAAUAGGGAUAGUUGGGGGCAUUAGUAUUCAAUUGUCAGAGGUGAAAUUCUUGGAUUUAUUGAAGACUAACUACUGCGAAAGCAUUUGCCAAGGAUGUUUUCAUUAAUCAAGAACGAA